GGCUACCCCUCGCACGAAACGAAAAAAACCAGGCGAAGAGCCUCCUCGCCCGUAGCAUCAGGCAAAAACGCUCCCCUCGAUCUAGGUCACGUCGGCGCCGCCGCCGCCAAUCCGCUCGUAUGCCGCCGCCGCCAUCCCCCAUCGCCACUGGUCGGACGUGGAGUUCGUGUGCCAUGACCUCCAUGGCACCCAUGGCCGACAAGACGGGACCCUCGGCCUCGGCCAUGGCCGCCUGCUCGGGAGAUGGGGUCGCCAUGUUUGACGCCGCCAGCGCCUCAUGGACCUCAGCUCCAGGUCCGCCGCCAUCGAACUCAGGUGGAUAAGUGGAUGGCACAUGUGUAUGUUGCUGUUGAGGGAUUAUAUUCGACAUUUUAUUUUUAUCCCAACACUAGAUUGAAGUGGUGGUUUACAAAGGAUUUUUAGUGGGGCACAAGUGUAGAUUGAUACAAAAGCAUGCUGAAUAUUUUGGUCCUUCAGGUUCAUUUUCACGAUCAUUCUUUCAGUGCAAAAUUUUGUACCCAAUUCUUAUGAACCGAACAAUGCAACUCUGUUGUUUAAGUUGAAUUAUUAGGCUGUACAUCAGUGACAUGACA